rnacentral:tRNA from 1 species
GGUAUAGCUCUUCUGGUAGAGCACGUGCUUAGCAUGCACAAGGUCUUGGGUUCAAUCCCAAGUACC